GCAAAUACUUAUUUCAAGCAAUGCCAGUGUGAUUAUUCUCAAGGCGGAUGCUCUGUUGUCGAAUAGCUUAACACACUUGAUGGAAAUAAAUGAAUUCAAGAUGAACACCAAUGUAGGGAAGGUUUGGAUCAUGCCACUUCAGUGGUAUUUCAGCACCUUCUUAAAGGGAGAAUUGAUCGGCAGAAACAUUUUCUUUGGUGCAUUUUCCUUCUCUGUCCACACAGAUACAGUUCCAGGUUUCCAUGAUUUCCUUCUGAAUGUAAAGUUUGAUAAAACACUAAGUAUGUUCCUCUGUUUCUUCUGGCGAUUAGCACUGCUACGGUGUGAAAACUGUAGAGAAGAAUAUUUAGAAGAUCUUCCUGCCAAGGUUUUUGAGAUGGAUAUGUCUGGUGAGAGCUACAGUAUCUACAAUGGUGUCUAUGCUGUGGCACAUGCUUUGCAUGCUAUAUACUUCUCCAGACCAAAAGCUAUGUUGCAUAAAGUCAAUGUGGAGCAUGUGAAUGUUCACCCAUGGCAGGUAAAUUAAUCACUUUAAGGCUGGGAGUACCUAUUUGUAAUUCACGGUUUUUUGAAUGUUGUGGGAACCAGUCACAAAAUGGCUACCAUGGUUAUUAGGCAAUAGCACAGCAUGGCUAACACAGCAAAAUACUGGGAAAAGAGAAAGGAACACAAAGCUGUAUGGGUAUAUCCAUGGGGGGAAAGGAUCUAUAUCAGCAUUAACUGUGCUCGCUGAGAAAGAAAGAAAAAUCUCUGCCUGUUUUCUCUGUUUAGAACAAAAGGUAGGCUAGGUACCUAAUCCUGGUCUUUACUUGGAGAGAAUUAAAUCAUAAAACUGCUACCCAUGAUGUGUGGAAAUAAGGUAACAGACAGCUUUUGAACUUUUCUCUGUACUUCACUUCAGCUAUAAUUUAAAAUGCUUGUAAAUGACCUCAUGGCAUAUUGAGGGCAUGCAGAAACUAUGGCUACCAUUUUAUAAAACUCAUUUUAUUUUCUUCCAAUCCAGCUCCAUGCUUUCCUGGAAAACAUCCGCUUUAACAAUGGAGCUGCCCAGGAAUUCUUUUUUGAGAAGAAGGAUUUGUCCAUUGGAUAUGAUAUCAUCAACUGGGUCACUUUCCCCAAUGAGACCUACCUAAAAGUCUUGGUUGGAAGGGUUUCAUCAAGUCAGAACUUCAGCAUUAUCAAAGAUGCCAUUGUGUGGAAUACAAGAUUGAAGCAGGUAGGAAUCAACUGUGGAUGGAGCUGCUAUCCGCACUCUUGCUGUAGAACCUUAAGUCCUCUUAUUUGUCUUUAAUAAUCUCUGAGCCCCACAGAGGAAGACUGGUGCAAUGAACCUAGGCUUCUUUUAUACAGGGUGAGUCUUUUAAAAGAGGCUCCGUGGAACAUGUGUACUCUGUAUCCACGGAGCCUCUUUUAAAGGACUCAUCCUGUACAUAUUCAGGUUCAGUGUUUCUCCAUAGAAGAGAGAGUUGCUCAUUUAUUGCAGUAAGCAGCUGGAAACCGGGCUCCUUCCUGGCUGGCUGGGCUUGGGCCUCUGCUUGCUCUGGGAGCCAAUCAGCUCUCCUGACUAGCUCCUAGGAAUACAGCCAGGGCACAGAACAGAGAGUAAAUUGUGCUCCCUUGGUCUGCAACCAAGCUAUAAAAGGAGACCAGAGCUGUAGGAAGCCUGGAUUCCUGAGGUAAGUAUGGUUGGACUCAUACAUUUUUUAAUGAAUAGGUGCCACCACAUUCCAUAUGUGUUGAAAGCUGCCAUAUUGGACAGAGCAAGAUAGUUCAAGAAGGCAAACCACUCUGUUGUUAUGACUGCACUGCAUGCUCAGAAAACAUGAUUUCCAACGAGAAGGGUAUGUGGCAGUACACAGCUAUGCAAAGGGGGGGGGAUCAAAUAUGUGUUUCAUGUUUUUAUAUACUUUGUCAGGACCAGGAAAGGGGAAAAAGCUCCUUCUUGUGCCGUACAUUCCUAAACCUAUGCAGCCCCCCAAGGAAUUACAAUUUGCAAUUUUUAAAGAUUCACAUACUGCAAGACAGAGUUUAUAUAGGCUGACACCAGGUUAUCCAGAGAACUGUGGAUUUCUCAACAUAGAGAGAAAUAUAUACAUAUAGAACCAAGGAGUCCCCAAUACCUACCCAUCCCCUGUCCCCCAGAAAGAGAAUCUAGGAGUCUCUAACCAGGGCAACCAACCCUGAGCUAAACCAGAGGUUAACCUGGACCUAUUCUGAACUAGUUUGUAGGUAGGUCUUACUUUAAUUAGCAUACAGCCACCAGAGGAAAGAGAUGUUGCUCCGCUCAGUAAGCCACGCCCCCGCCAAACUUCCCUAUUGGGUGCCCAACCUGGGAGGGGCGUGGCGCGCCAGCCCUGGAGUUGAAACAGGGCGGAGCGCCACCUGCAUGACGUGGGAAUCAUCUCCCACUCACAACCCCUCUCCUCCUUGGAAGGAGGAAAGGCUUUAGCAUACAUCCACCAGAAGAAAGAGAUGUUGCUCCGCUCUCCCUUCUCCCUCUCAGAGAGGUGGCUUGGAAAGGAGCAGCUGUGCAGAUAAAAUCAGUGGCUCUGCUUCUGCCACUUAACAACAAACAAGAAGAUGAAUCAUGUGAUGGGCUACUAUCUUCUUCCAGUGGUCAGGGUAGAUGCCAGCCUUUUCAUUCAGCCCCCCCUCUCCCCUGAUACAUGAUGGUCCUUCCUGCUCGGUACCCCAUCCCCUAGUAGCUGCAGACUGCUCUGAGUGAUCCCAUCCAACCUGAUAGAUAAGGAUAUGGAAGUAUAAGCAUUUCAUAAUAAUAACUUGAUUUGUGAUACAUAUGUCAAGAAAGGAUAACAACCACAUUUCGGACCACCAAAUAUUUUAAACCAGGCUGUAGGAUGACUAGGCUGAUGGCUAGGCUGUGGAAUGUACCUAGCCUAUCCCUCAUAUUUUUGUUCCCUUAUUACCUUGUUAAAUUUAUUUCUUUAGUGUAGUGUGUAUGUAUGUAUGUAUGUAUGUAUGUAUGUAUUCACUAUCCAUUCUUGCAGGUCAACUUCAGCUUCUUUGGUGGGCAAAUAAUCCUACCCACCCUUUCUUAAAAUGAAAGAUCAGAGAAGGGGAUUGCUUAAUUAAACUUUGCUUUUAUGCUUCAUAUAAACAUGUGGAUUGAGCCAUUCUUGUCCAGUAUUAAUUGCACAUUAUGCCAUUUCUUCCCUUCUGCAUAAAAGCUGUCAUUUAUAUGAUAUAUCCUAUUAAUUCCUUUCAGAUGCAACUCAUUGUGUCAAGUGCCCAGGAGAUCACUAUCCAAAUGAGAACCAUGACCAGUGUAUCCCUAAGGUUAUAUCUUUCCUGUCCUAUCAAGAGCCCUUGGGGAUUGUUUUGGUUAGUGUUGCUCUUUCCUUUACUGUGAUCACUUGUUUUGUGAUACAAACCUUCCUAAAGAAUUGGAACACGCCCAUUGUCAAAGCCAAUAACCAGAACCUCAGUUGUGUUCUUCUCAUUGCCAUCCUGUUGUGCUAUCUUUCUUGUUUGCUCUUCAUUGGCAAACCUGGGAAGCUGUCCUGCCUUCUUCGACAAAUGACUUUUGGCAUCAUUUUCUCUGUGGCAGUUUCUUGUGUGUUGGCAAAAACAAUCCUUGUGGUCCUGGCCUUCUUGGCCACAAAGCCAGGCAACAGGAUCAGGACAUGGCUGGGCCAAAAAGUGGCUACUUCCAUUGUUUUUUUCUGCUCCCUCCAACAAGUGUGUAUUUGUAUUGCAUGGUUGUUGUCCUCUCCACCAUUCCCAGAUGUUGACAUGCACUCAGAGACUGGGAAGAUCAUACUGGAAUGCAAUGAAGGUUCCAUCACCAUGUUCUAUUGUGUCUUGGGCUACAUGGGGUUUCUAGCCAUGAUCAGCUUCACUGUUGCUUUCUUAGCCAGAAAAUUGCCUGACACUUUCAAUGAAGCAAAGUUUAUCACCUUCAGCAUGCUGGUGUUUUGCAGUGUUUGGAUCUCCUUUAUCCCAGGUUACCUAAGCACCAAGGGAAAAUAUAUCGUGGCUGUGGAGCUUUUUGCCAUCUUGGCCUCAAAUACUGGGCUAUUGGCUUGCAUCUUCCUCCCCAAAUGUUACAUCAUUAUUUUCAGGGCUGAUUUCAAUACUAAGAUGGUGCUAACAAAAAAAGGAAAUGACUGAUUAGUUUUUGUUUGUUACAUGUCCCCCCCCCCCCCGGAGGGGAGGGUUCCAAUAAAGACUUUUUUACUGAACUUAGUAAACUGUGUAACUGCAUGUUGGCUAAUAACUUUCAAUUGUUAAGCCUUUGGGACAAGGAAACCAUAUCAUAGUUUAGGUGUCAGGUUAACCAAUAAAUUCAUACUAGAAUGAAAUGAAGCCUGUGUUACCAUGUACUAUAAUUAGAAUUAUCCAUUCUCACUCUUCAAAGAUACAG